rnacentral:rRNA from 1 species
GCAGCCGCGGUAACACCGGCGGCCCGAGUGGUGAUCGUGAUUAUUGGGUCUAAAGGGUCCGUAGCCGGUUUGGUCAGUCCUCCGGGAAAUCUGAUAGCUCAACGUAUUAGGCUUUCGGGGGAUACUGCCAGACUUGGAACCGGGAGAGGUAAGAGGUACUACAGGGGUAGGAGUGAAAUCUUGUAAUCCCUGUGGGACCACCUGUGGCGAAAGCGUCUUACCAGAACGGGUUCGACGGUGAGGGACGAAAGCUGGGGGCACGAGCCGGAUUAGAUACCCGGGUAGUCCCAGCCGUAAACGAUGCUCGCUAGGUGUCAGGCAUGGCGCGACCGUGUCUGGUGCCGCAGGGAAGCCGUGAAGCGAGCCACCUGGGAAGUACGGCCGCAAGGCUGAAACUUAAAGGAAUUGGCGGGGGAGCACAACAACGGGUGGAGCCCUGCGGUUUAAUUGGACUCAACGCCGGACAACUCACCGGGGGCGACAGCAAUAUGUAGGCCAAGCUGAAGACUUUGCCUGAAUCGCUGAGGAGUGGUGCAUGG